UUCCAUGGGUGCUUUGCUUC
rnacentral:misc_RNA from 1 species